CCUGGUGGCUCAGAUGGUAAAGAAUCUGCCUGCAAUGCAGGAGACCUGGGUUUGAACCCAGGGUCAGGA
rnacentral:tRNA from 1 species